GGGGGGGACACCCAGUCGUCACGGCUACGGCGGAAUCCAAGCAAGUCAUGGGACCGCUCGGCGUCCUCAGUGUCAGUAUGUGCAAGGUGCAGGGGGAACGGUACGUCGUGUGGCACUUCCUGUUGUCAGAGCAUUGAAGGUCUCCUGGCAUCUGCUAUCAUGAGGAUGGGACCUGCAAACAGGCCGUUUCCCCUGCACUUCAGAAAUACAGGCCCAGCGGGGGAAGCAGCUGUGAUGUCAGAUGAGGAAAGUACUUCACAUGUUAUUUCAAGACUGUGCAGGCAACGGUGAAGCCUUGGAUCUCGGAUACAAUCUUUUGUUCUUUAUUCUUUACUUUAUUAGGACCAUCAAUACACCUGUUGGAGAGACAGCGGAUACACAAAUGCUGGUAAUUUGUGGUACUGUACAGGCGUGACAGCUAAGGAGUAGCAAACCAAUGACACUACAGUCAACAAGGACGCCCUGGUGACUGCCAUGCUCUCUGAAUGGGGGAUCGGGAUGGGCAAACAAGGACAUAGGAAAAACCAGCUAUCAUUUAGGCCACGCCCACCAACCCCACCGGGCCAAUGAAUAGAUAAUACAUAGAAAGUACUAAAUGAUAGCUGGAGAUCCUGGGAGUACAGGCAAUGAUCACACAAUCAUAUUCCAUUAAAAAAGUAUCCAUUUUCAAAAAGAAAUAAAACAAC